CUAGAGGUAGUUUAAGUGUGUGCUUUUAGGCCUAAAACGUAAAUUUUGUAAGUUUAAGAUUGGCCGUAUGGCCUCUCUAGG
rnacentral:tRNA from 1 species